GAAUAUUGCACAAUGGGGGAAACCCUGAUGCAGCGAUGCCGUGUGCGGGAUGAAGGGGCUUUGCCUCGUAAACCGCUGUCGGAUGGGACGAAAGGGAGCUUAGAGCUCCUGGGACUGUACCAUAAGAGGAAGGGACGGCUAACUACGUGCCAGCAGCCGCGGUAAUACGUAGGUCCCGAGCGUUGUCCGGAAUUACUGGGUGUAAAGGGUGCGCAGGCGGCCAUGUGCGUCAGAAGUGAAAUAUCACGGCUCAACCGUGAGGGUGCUUUUGAUACGGCGUGGCUUGAGUACGGGAGAGGAUGAUGGAAUUCCUGGUGUAGCAGUGAAAUGCGUAGAUAUCAGGAGGAACACCGGUGGCGAAGGCGGUCAUCUGGCCCGGUACUGACGCUCAGGCACGAAAGUGUGGGUAGCAAACAGG
rnacentral:rRNA from 1 species